rnacentral:rRNA from 1 species
UACGUAGGGAGCAAGCGUUGUCCGGAAUUAUUGGGCGUAAAGAGCUCGUAGGCGGUUUGUCGCGUCUGCCGUGAAAGUCCGGGGCUCAACUCCGGAUCUGCGGUGGGUACGGGCAGACUAGAGUGAUGUAGGGGAGACUGGAAUUCCUGGUGUAGCGGUGAAAUGCGCAGAUAUCAGGAGGAACACCGAUGGCGAAGGCAGGUCUCUGGGCAUUAACUGACGCUGAGGAGCGAAAGCAUGGGGAGCGAACAGG